rnacentral:lncRNA from 1 species
ACCCUGUUCACCUUCAGUGUUAAUAGCUCUGUUCUCUCACAGCCCUGUGCAGAGCGCCUGGGGAGAGAAAAAGUAGGAGUGGAUGCAGGAGGGAACAAAACUCCACUCGUCCAGAGAAAGCAAAAGGAUGGGAAAGAACCAGGGGAAAACGUGAACCACGUAGGCACAGAGGAAGAGUGAAAUAAGAAACCUUACUAAGGACGGUGUCUUGUUGCAAAAGAAAUCGCCCGGGCUCUGGAUAGCUAAGUGCUCAUUCACCUCUGCAAACAGAAAAGUCAGGGCGCGUGUAGCUGGAGGGGCGGCUCCUUUCGCUCAUCUGCAUUCCUUUUGUCUGGAGCUAGGGUGUGGUCGUAACCGGGAAUAAUGGUUCCUUAUGACUAACUUUCAUCUCCCCGUAAAGGAAUCAUCUUUAAAAAGCAACAACCAAAACUUGCUUCCUAAUCACAUAAAACAGCCCGAGACUCUCCCUCUCCGCAGUGAAGUGAUUUCUCCUGUCUUGAUCUUGUUCCUCCUUGAAACAACAGCUCCCCGGGGGGAGUUCUGGCCGCCAAGAAUGUUAGAGAGCAGCGUUAGAGGAGAGCAGCAUUUCUCUUGGUCAGCUCAAGGUCACUCACUGUAACCUCAGAGAUGGCAGCUCUCUGGGAUCUGAGACCUGAACAAUGACAAUUAUGCGUCCCAGUAGCUGUCGGUGUCCUUAAUCUGCCUGUUAAAGAACUGAUGAAGCCACACUCCAGGUUUCCUGGGACGAAUGGCAUUAGUCUGACAUGGAGGCAAGUGAGUGAUCAGAGCGAGGAGCCCAGGAGAGCCAGGGAGAGGAGCUGGAAGCCACUCGAAGGGCACACUGAGAGAAGCAAGGCAGACUCUGCUAUGAAAAAUCCACAUCUGAGCUGCAAGGAGCCGAGGUCUGGCUUAUGGUACCUGAUAGAAAAACAUGAUUUGGCCUGUGGAGUGAGGUAUCUUUCCACAGCAAGAUGCACACAAAAACAAGCACAGAUGCAUACAAAGACAUACACACACACACACACACACACACACACACACACACACACACACACACAUAGAGUCAAGUUGAAGAGAG